rnacentral:rRNA from 1 species
UACGGAGGGGGGCUAGCGUUGUUCGGAAUUACUGGGCGUAAAGCGCGCGUAGGCGGCCAGAUAAGUCCGGUGUGAAAGUCGGGGGCUCAACCUCGGAACUGCCUUUGAUACUGCAAAUCUCGAGUCCGGAAGAGGUGAGUGGAAUUCCUAGUGUAGAGGUGAAAUUCGUAGAUAUUAGGAAGAACACCAGUGGCGAAGGCGGCUCACUGGUCCGGUACUGACGCUGAGGCGCGAAAGCGUGGGGAGCAAACAGG